rnacentral:rRNA from 1 species
AUACGUAGGGUGCAAGCGUUAAUCGGAAUUACUGGGCGUAAAGCGUGCGCAGGCGGUUUUGUAAGACAGUGGUGAAAUCCCCGGGCUCAACCUGGGAACUGCCAUUGUGACUGCAAGGCUGGAGUGCGGCAGCGGGGGAUGGGAUUCCGCGGUGAGCAGGGAAAUGCGUAGAUAUGCGGAGGAACACCGAUGGCGAAGGCAAUCCCCUGGGCCUGCACUGACGCUCAUGCACGAAAGCGUGGGGAGCAAACAGGAUUAGAUACCCUGGUAGUCCACGCCCUAAACGAUGUCAACUGGUUGUUGGGGAUUUAUUUUCUCAGUAACGAAGCUAACGCGUGAAGUUGACCGCCUGGGGAGUACGGCCGCAAGGUUAAAACUCAAAGGAAUUGACGGGG